rnacentral:rRNA from 1 species
UACGUAGGGGGCAAGCGUUGUCCGGAUUUAUUGGGCGUAAAGAGCGUGUAGGCGGCCAAGCAGGUCCGCUGUGAAAACUCGAGGCUCAACCUCGAGACGUCGGCGGAAACCCUCUGGCUAGAGUCCGGAAGAGGAGAGUGGAAUUCCUGGUGUAGCGGUGAAAUGCGCAGAUAUCGGGAAGAACACCCGUGGCGAAGGCGGCUCUCUGGGACGGUACUGACGCUGAGACGCGAAAGCGUGGGGAGCGAACAGG